rnacentral:rRNA from 1 species
GACGAACGCUGGCGGCGUGCUUAACACAUGCAAGUCGAACGGAAAGGCCCUGCUUUUGUGGGGUGCUCGAGUGGCGAACGGGUGAGUAACACGUGAGUAACCUGCCCUUGACUUUGGGAUAACUUCAGGAAACUGGGGCUAAUACCGGAUAGGAUCUCCCGCUGCAUGGUGGGGGUUGGAAAGUUUCGGCGGUUGGGGAUGGACUCGCGGCUUAUCAGCUUGUUGGUGGGGUAGUGGCUUACCCAGGCUUUGACGGGUAGCCGGCCUGAGAGGGUGACCGGCCACAUUGGGACUGAGGUACGGCCCAGACUCCUACGGGAGGCAGCAGUGGGGAAUAUUGCACAAUGAGCGGGAGCCUGAGGCAGCAACGCCGCGUGCGGGAUGACGGCCUUCGGGUUGUAAACCGCUUUCGCCUGUGACGAAGCGUGAGUGACGGUAAUGGGCAAAGAAGCACCGGCUAACUACGUG